rnacentral:snRNA from 1 species
CCAGUCUUCACUCAAGGGUAUACGAGUAGCUGCACUCCCCUGCUAGAAUCUCCAAACAAGCUCUCAAGGCCCAUUGUUGGAACGUAGGAUAAUAAAGCUUAUGGACUACCCGAAGAACUGUGGACUUUGGCGCGGGCCAGGUAAUCUACUAGU